UGUUAUAUAUAAUAAUUGUAUUAAUAUGUAUAUAUAAUGAUUAUUUUAUUUUUUUCAUUAGAUUUUCUAAAGAUUCCACGUUAAACGUGAACCCUCCAUGAUGAUAACCGUAAUUUUUAGUUUUAUACACCGCAUUAUCACUUUGCCACCUUAAAAUGGUUAGAAAAUUAUUAUCCUUGGUGAUGUGCAGUAUUGGGCUAUUUAAACUACCUGCAGUCGUCUUUCUCAGAUUUUUUUGGAGCAUACAUGUACACCCAGAGCUACCAUUUCGGCCAACCACUUGUUCACAAAAUUUCCACAGCUGCACACACAUUUGCAGAGUUGUUGAAUGGAUUAGUACAGUACAUGUAAUUUCAAGUGAAGUACCUUGUCCAAAAAUACAGCACAUUGCUUGUGUGGAGACUCAAACUAGUUGUUCUUAAUCACCACCAUGCCUCCUAUUAAUUGAGGUCUAGGGAGCAAAUUUAAUGCUUGUUGUAAUGUUUGAUGCUUAGAAGAUUUAUGUUGUGUUAAUAAGUAAAAUCAGAAAACCUUGACAGACUGUACAAGAAGAUUUCUUGUAUUUUUAAAAACAGCAUUUUACCCUACAUGUUCGUUUUACUGUUAUUAUUGAAAAUUAACUACAUGUUUAUGUUAUGGUAGAAGUUUAGAAGUAGAUGGUCCGUUCAUUUACAUGGACAAACUGGUAUCUCAAUUUUUGAAAUGUAUCAUUUGAGGCAUAAAUCUAGAUGGACCUUCAGUAGUUAAUACAGGUCUUGAAAGUCUUUGUCAAGGCUUGUCUGAAAGCAUUAUAAAAUCAUUAGGUCCGUCCUUAUUUCAUAAACGGAAAACUCUGCUCCAGCCAUUUCAGGUGAUCAGGUUGUAUACAGUGGUAACAUGCUUGCCUUUCACCUGCCUGGCCAUGUGGGGUUUCUCGGGGUACUCUGGGUUUCCUACAGCAGUGAGACCCCUUCUGCUCUUCAAUCCAGGCCAACAAGAGUGAUUAAUAUGUUUUAUUAUGUUAUGGUAGAAAUUUAAAAGUUUAGAAGUAGGUUUGUUCAUUUACAUGGACAAACUGGUAUCUCAAAUUUUGAAUUUUUUUUUCAAUCCGGGCCAACAAGAAUAAUUAAUAUAUAUAAGUUGAUAUUUACUUGUUUUGAAAGUGUUGAUAAAUAACUAAAGUUUACAAACCAUUUGGACUUGGACCACAAUAAUAAGAAAAAAACAGCCCUGUGCUCUGAUGGAACUUAGUGGCUGAAUUUGAUUUGAACUCUGGUGGAAGUUCGCCUUAUUGCUGUGGUUCACGACAUCAAAACAAGGUUUGUAACUCUAUUGAUCAUGCCUACCUCAUCAAUUCGAGACAUUCCUUCGCCUUUCAUAUCACAGAUUACAUGUAUUUUGUGUGAAUGGUAUAAACCCAACCUCAAUAUACCCCCUCCCUGUAUUUAGCAUUACUGACCAGUCGGGCAGGGCAGUUAUCAAGUUUAGAUGGUCGCUUAUGUUCUGGCCCUGGUUUAAACAACAUUUCAUAACUCAGAAAAACAUUAUAGAACUUAAGGAAAAUUAUUUUGAUUAACAAUGAUUUUUCCUUUAAUCCAAUAACGGCUUCUAAAGAAAAAAUUAUAGUAUAAGAAUUUCCUGAAUUUGAAAAUGUUGAUCAAACUUGGGCCAGACUGCAUUUGUUGUGGUGCUUACAAGAUGUUACUUUAUCAUGGUGCUUCUAAGAUAUCCAUUUUAUCUUUACAUAUUUAGGUUUUAAUAUAGUUAACCAAGACGCGCAUGACUGUCAUGUUUCUGUAACCUACAGCAUUAGGUUUCAUAAUUACAUUUUUCAGUAUACAAAUUUCAUUUAGCUGCAGAUGAUUGAAUGUAAACUUGUAGGUAUCUUAUGUUUUUGGUGUCAUUGUUAUUACAUUUUUAAUGGUUCAUAACACUGAAAAGGUCAUUAGGUCUAUAAAAAGUAGUGGUCAUAAUUUUUAUCUUAGGACUAUAAAAAGUAAAGGUCAUUAGGUCUAUAAAUAGUAGAGGUCAUAAGGACUAUAAAAAGUAAAGGUCAUUAGGGCUAUAAAUAGUAAAGGUCAUUAGGGCUGUGAAUAGUAAAGGUCAUUAGGGCUAUAAAUAGUUAAGGUCAUUAUAGGGCUAUAGAUAGUAAAGAUCAUUAGGGCUGUGAAUAGUAAAGGUCAUUAGGGCUAUAGAUAUUAAAGGUCAUUAGGGCUAUAAAUAGUAAAGGUCAUUGAGGCUAUUAAUAGUAAAGGUCAUUAGGGCUAUAGAUAGUAAAGGUCAUUAGGGCUAUAAAUAGUAAAGGUAAUUAGGGCUGUGAAUAGUAAAGGUCAUUAGGGGUAUAAAUAGUAAAGGUCAUUGAGGCUAUUAAUAGUAAAGGUCAUUAGGGCUAUAUAUAUAGUAAAGGUCAUUAGGGCUAUAUAUAUAGUAAAGGUCAUUAGGGCUAUAAAUAGUUAAGGUCAUUAGGGGCAGGGCUAUAGAAAGUAAAGGUCAUCAGGGCUAUAGAUAGUAAAGGUCAUUAGGGCUAUGAAUAGAAAGUAAAUAAUGGAUAUUAAAUUGAUCAACAUCAAACAAUUAAAAUAUUUUUAAAAUAUCUCGGUCCACUUGGAGUAUUUAUAUCCAAACAUAGUUUAAAUAGUACAGACCCACAGCUUUUAGAUAGUUCAAAAUUUUGAAAAAUCAGUAUUUAAAAUAAAAGUCCCCUUAGCUUGUUAAGUGUCUAGAAGAAAAAUCACAGAGGUAACUUAGAACAUUCGUGUACAGAAACAUGUUUUGGAAUGGAUAUUAUUGUCUGGUUGUAUUAGUACUGUAGAAAAUGCAGAGAGACAGAAUGAGGGUGGGACAAAAAAAUGAUUUAAAUACAUAAAUAUUAAAUUAUGACUGAAUAAAAUACAUAUAUUAUUCAGAAUUAUUGUAAAGAUAUACCCAUGAUUUAACAUGAGUCUCCAUUUCAUUUAAGUUUUAUGAUACAAGUUUCAUGAAUAACCUACAAAAUUAAUUUCAGAUCUUUUUAUCACACAUUUAAAUUUUUUCUUCAAUUAUUGCAGAAAGCAUUAAUUUCUGUGUCAUUCCUGAAGUCAGCUUUGCUCUAUAACUGUUGUCUCUGUUGUGGGGUAAUAAAAUCUUUAAAUGUUGGACUUAAUCUUCAUCAUUCUAUGAAAUCCUGUCAUAUUACAGGAGUUUUUUCUGACUUGCACUGCAGUCUUCUUAGAAAUAAAUUUUAAAUCAUACAACCUUACCUGUAUUUCUGAUAUAAUUCGACAAACGUACAGCAUGAAAGCUUUGCUAUUUCAUACAAUGUAGAACCUAUAUUAUGUAUCACAGAGUUUAAUUCUGAUGAAAAAAAUAACUUUGACUUGUAGAAUGUUUUUCCCUUAUUGAAUAAUGCUCCUAGCUCCUGAAACUAAAAUGUAUAUGGCUUCCUUUCUUCACAGUGGCCGUCAACUAGAAAUUUCAUUAUGUACUCAACAGAAAGAUAUUUAGACAGCUUUAAAUGACAAAAAAAAAUUAAAAUAAUGAAAUAAUUUGUAAAAAUGAAGAAAAAAAAAUGAUUACAAUGAUGACAUAAAUUGUAAAAAUGAUUUUUUUUAUUGAAAUGAUGAAAUAAACUGUAAAAAUGAAAAAAAAAAGUGAAUAAAAAUGAUGAAAUAAAUUGCGAUAAAACAUUUUAUUUAUGCAUACAAAUGAAUUAAUAUGGUAUUAUGAGAUGAAUAUAUAAUUAAUAACCUCUGCAUGGUAAAAUAUUAUAUUGUAAUGAGGUUGCUAUUUUUGUGGCUAUUUUUGUGGCUACCUGAUAUCUGUGGAAUAUUGUAAAGGUGUUCUAGUCUUUUAAAUGAAAAAUUAUGUUUUAUGUUUGCUUUUUUAUAAAAAAAUGUUUUAGUUUGUAUUUUGUAAGAAAAUAAACAUGUUUUAAGUUUA